rnacentral:rRNA from 1 species
GAUGAACGCUAGCUACAGGCUUAACACAUGCAAGUCGAGGGAACGACAUUGGAAGCUUGCUUCCUUUGGGUCGUCGACCGGCGCACGGGUGAGUAACGCGUAUCCAACCUGCCCACCACUUGGGGAGUAACCUUGCGAAAGUAAGACUAAUACCCGAUGAUAUCCCUAGAAGACAUCUGAAAGGGAUUAAGAUUAUCGGUGAUGGAUGGGGAUGCGUCUGAUUAGCUUGUUGGCGGGGUAACGGCCCACCAAGGCAACGAUCAGUAGGGGUUCUGAGAGGAAGGUCCCCCACAUUGGAACUGAGACACGGUCCAAACUCCUACGGGAGGCAGCAGUGAGGAAUAUUGGUCAAUGGACGUAAGUCUGAACCAGCCAAGUAGCGUGCAGGAUGACGGCCCUAUGGGUUGUAAACUGCUUUUAUAAGGGAAUAAAGUGGGGCUCGUGAGCUCUUUUGCAUGUACCUUAUGAAUAAGGACCGGCUAAUUCCGUG